ACCGUCUUUGAUAGAAAUAAAAAUAAAAAUAAAAAGUUGAAUUGCAGAAAAGCUAAGAGGUUUUUAGUUUUUGUUUUUUGUUUUCCUUCCACCAGUCAAUUAUUGGAAAGGAUUUAGUGAGUCUGGUUUAUUUUAGCUUCAAUCUGGGUUUGUACACAAGCAAAAAGCAAAUGUUGAAUUUUCAGGUAGACCUUCAUGCAGACAUGCAAAACCAACUGUCUCGGUGGUGAGGAGCCAUGGGGAGCUCUCCGAAGGGCUUUCCAGGCAGUGGGCUAAUGGGCAAAAUGACUACUCAGUGGCCCUGCUGACCGAUGGUACGGAUGUGCCAAGGAUAUCUAUCAGCCCAUCUGAGAAUAUGAAACAAAGUGCUGAGAUUCUACUACCUAAAGUAACAAAGAAACCGUAAGCAACACGACUGACAGCCAGAAGGGAACACUGGAGUUGUGGCGUGUAAUGCUGUCCUGGAUUAGCACCCCCAAAUCUCGCCAAGCCAAAGGCCUUGCCCAUCUGUGAGUUUUCCACAUGUACAGAACCAGGCGUGGUUACGCAAAGUCUUUGGACACGGCCUCCACGAAGUUGGGAGCCGACAUCAGGAUGCCGAUGGUGCAGAUGAUGGUGAAGACCGAGAAGGCCAUGAGGCACAGGCGGUCCACCACACAGGCGGCGAACUUCCACUCGCUGCAGACCGCCUCGCUUUCGUCCUGGCAGCGGAAGCGGUUGGCAAUGUAGCGGACCUCCUCCAGGAUCUUGGCCAAGUCCGGGUCCCCCUCGGGGGGUUGCCCGCCGUGCAGGAGGUGCUCAUCGUGCGUGGGGGAGCAGGCCAUGCGGCCACACACUACCCCAGAGUCGGGGGUCGGGACACAGUGCACGCCGUCCAGGCCGCGGAAGCCGAUGUACAGCAGGUUCCCGUUGCUGGCGGGCGGCGGCGCCACGGCACUCAUCUCCACACUGGCCAGGCUGCAGCGCCGCUGCUUGUGCUGGCAGGCCGGGCGCACCUUGUCCUCCCCGGGCCUCUUCAUUCGCAGGAACCACGCGCACCAGUUCAGAAGGAUGACUCUGGUCUGGGGAGACAACAGAACGUUAAGAGCAGCCCUGAGGCGGACACGGGCUGAUCCCAACAGCAGUAAGAUCCUACAAUACAAGCCCUGCUUCAUUGGUCCUGGGGGUAGCAGCCUCCACUGCCUCCCGGAUGAUUUUAGCAGGCAAGCAGUGCUUGCGUAUGACAAGCAGUCGAGUUCAACGUGAGGCAAGACUAAAACUGAUGCACCCUGGGAACAAGCUAAAUUGUUCUCCGGGGCAGGCACACUGCAAUCUCAGGGAAGACAGCUUCGUGGAAGGGGAAGGCUAUCUGAGCUGUGUAAAGAGGGAAAGUCAAUUUCCCUCUCUGAUCCUUCCUCAUCUGUAACCCGGGGACCUUCAGAUCUAACUCUGGCUCCCACACUACCUGUUAGGUGCCCUGGAAGGCCACUGCAAAUUCGCAAAGAGUGUCUGGGGGAGGUUGUACAUUUUCAAAUGCAAUCCCAGGAUAUCCAUGAGACACCAGGUAAACUUGAAGCUUGAAGCAGUUCAGGCUUCCAACAUCAGAUUACCACAUCUCUUGUGAUGACGUGACCACUUUGCAAAGCUGUUUUUCAAAGUACCCUGAUAAAAAGCAAACACCAAGGAACUUCAUGUGAAACAGAAACUAGGUUAGUGGUCUCCAAUCUGAUCCCAAGAUUUGAGAGGCGGUGCCGUGCCCCAUAGGUGCUACAUUGUUAAGGCACAAAUACUUAUUAAAGUGUUUUGAUCUAUUUAAAAAGAGAGCCUUGGGUAUUAUUUCUUUUGGCCAGGGGCUCUGUGAAAAAUUUCCUGAGAUACUAACGUGCUGUGAACCAAGGCAGUUUCGGAACCUCUAACCUAACUCAGUAGGCUUCAAUGAAGACCGAAUAAGAUGAUGUCUGGGAGAGUACUUUGAAAAGUUGAAGGCAGAAGUUGGCAAACUUUCUGUAAAGGGCCAGGCAACUACUCACUUCUGCUGAUGUAGCACACAUUGAAGGCGUCAAAUGGAUGGGCAUGUUUUCUAAAAUAACUUAUUUACAAAAACACUUGGUGGACUGGAUUUGGCCACCUAGGCCAUAAUUUGCUAACUUCUGGUCUAAAGUGUGUCCUAGAGUGCAUGAAAGAAGCUGGAGAAAAAUCACCAUGGAGUUUAUCCUGGUUUUGCCUCUCAUGGAAAGAAGAGAGACAACUGAAGCCUCAAUCCAGAAACAGGUAAAUGUAUUACCUGCUUCAAACUGAUGGAUGGACAGACAGAAAGAGCAGCAAACCAACAAGCCUCCAGCUCUCAGGCCUCUCACCUCUGGCCUUGCAUUUUCUUAAGUGUGGGUCAGCGUUAUAAGGAAAUCAGACAAAAAUACAGGAGAUGGAGUUUUGCUCUGUCACCCAGGCUGGAGGGCAAUGACACCACCAUAGCUCACUGGAGCCUGGAGCUCCUGGGCUCACAUGAUCCUCCCACCUCAGCCUCCCAGGUAGCUGGGACUACAGCCACACACCACUGUGGUGGGCUCACAGGUAAGUCUUUACUAAAUAGUGUAUAAGGGGAAUGGGCCAUGUGGGUGAAACUCUGAGAAGAAACAGUAAUUUUGUAAAGCAUUUCUUAAGAAGCAGUCUUUGCUAAGUGAGCAUUCAGGUAACAACUCCACAAUGACUGUUUCAGGAGGCCCAGCAAUCCCCUAUUCCUGGAGGGUGCCUGACAGCAUCUCACCCCCUACAGCUGCAUUUAGCUUGUUGGUGAUUCCUAGAUUCCCUUCUGAACUGGGACACAAGUGCUCUCCAAAGACAGACAACUUUUGGAAUGUGAGGGCCUUUUUAGCUCCCCAAAUCCUUAGGCCAGGCUCUCUAGACAGGAGGACGGGGAAGCUUUACAAAGCUCACAUGAAGAGGGGAAGAAGCUCAGGCCCUCCCUAGGCCCUCAUCAAGGUUUCCUGACUGCCAGGCAAGGGUGGAUGCAGAGCUCUGGACACCGUGCAGGAGAGGAUCCCUGGGUGGGUGAGCAUCCGCAGAUGUGGCCGGGCACGGUGCCAGCAGCUGGGGCAGGAGUGGUAUGGCCCAGGCUAAGCUGACAGGCUGUGGGAUGCCAUCCUUUCUGUUUUCAUCCGUUUCCUUUUAUCCCUUCCCCCUUCUGCACUGGUGACAAUUAGUCUUUGUUUCAUAGACUUCUGGUUGGAUGAUAUCCCUAGAUGUACUGAACGUACAUAUUUGUACACAGCUCAUUCUGUUUCUUACUCUUUGCUCCUCAUUCUGUUGUGAAGCCUCAACCAUGUUGCUACGCAUCUGUCUCAUCUGUUGCUUCCAACUGCAGCACAG
rnacentral:lncRNA from 1 species